UUUAUGAGAGUUUGAUCCUGGCUCAGGACGAACGCUGGCGGCGUGCCUAAUACAUGCAAGUCGAGCGGAUGAAAGGGAGCUUGCUCCCUGGAUUCAGCGGCGGACGGGUGAGUAACACGUGGGCAACCUGCCUGUAAGACUGGGAUAACUCCGGGAAACCGGGGCUAAUACCGGAUAACUUCUUUUCUCGCAUGGGGAGAGGUUGAAAGACGGUUAUGCUGUCACUUACAGAUGGGCCCGCGGCGCAUUAGCUAGUUGGUGGGGUAACGGCCUACCAAGGCGACGAUGCGUAGCCGACCUGAGAGGGUGAUCGGCCACACUGGGACUGAGACACGGCCCAGACUCCUACGGGAGGCAGCAGUAGGGAAUCUUCCGCAAUGGACGAAAGUCUGACGGAGCAACGCCGCGUGAGUGA
rnacentral:rRNA from 1 species